rnacentral:piRNA from 1 species
UCUUCACAGGAAAUAGUUUAUAGCAAUAGA